GGGGCGGGGCCGCUCUGCCGGCGGGGAACCGCCGGGAAAAGCCUUUUAUGGACAGGACCACGAAGGCUUUCCCUGCCGUCUGGACUUAGGGUUGCUCCUCUGACACUGUUCCCUGCCUCCGGGUUUGCGGGGAGGGGGAAACUCAAGAGGGGCUGUCCAGUGAAAGAGGUUGGGGGACCCCUCCCUGAGGCUUGUGGGGGACUAACCAGCCACCCUCUUCUUCUGGGGCUUUUAGCCCUAGCGGGAGACAGGAGCUCACCUUUCCCGAGGACCAGGCUACGUGCCAGGCAUUUUGCAAACGCGCUCAUUUGAUACUCACAGCUGCAUCAUGACAGCAUAAUUACUCUCCCAUUUUACAAAUGAGGAGACAAAGGCUCGGAGGGCGUCUUACCCAAGGCCACGUGGUGAGUCUUGGGAGGCAGAACCUGGGCAUCCCUGCCGACCCCCAGCCAUGCGGGAGCCAGAGAGGCCGGCAGACCCACCCUUCCAGCUGCACCUGCUCAGGUUGAGAGUUCGCAGUUGGGGCGGGUCUUAAAUCACACGUUUUAGCUGGGGCUGGGACUGGAGGGUUCAGCAACAGCUCAGUCCGAUCCAGAGGGUCUGCAGGGCCUGAGGCACCAACACUGGGGUUGGAGGCUCAAAGACUUCUAUCAUCCCUCCCUUUUUUUUUUUAAUGUAUUUAUUUAUGGCCAGUGCUGCUCGGCAUGUGGCAUCUUAAUUGGAUGUGGCAUCUUAAUUGGAUCUGGCAUCUUAAUUCCCCAACCAAGGAUCGAACCUGCGCCCCCUGCAGUGGAAAGGCAGAGUCUUAAUCACUGGACCACCAGGGAAGCCCUCCCACCCAGCCCCUUUUCAAAUAGUGUCUACCUCCUCUGGAAAACAGAGGACACCAUCACCCAAGAAAGGAGACCCGCUCAAAUCUCGCUUCAGCGAAGGACAGGAAGUGAAGAAAGGAGAGAAAAAACAUGAGGCUGUCAAGGGACUACUAUUCCCCACAGGUCUGGGGCUUGGAAGAGAACGGCAGACCAAAGACCUGGGAAAUGGAGGAGCCCGGCCCCAGCCCUUCUUCUCAACACUUCCAUCCAGAAAGAGGGGGCAGGAGACAGGCCCAAGGACUGCAUCUGGUUGUUUCUUUAAUUGAAUGCAAACUCAUUCAUAGAAAACAGAAAUGCAACCAUAGCAUGGAAACAGACAUUAAACGGAGCUCUGAAAAAAGAUCCAGACCCUCCGCCUCUCCCCAGCCCGAGGGAGAGCUAUAAAAACAAGUUGAGGAGAAUAAAACACAUUCCCAUCCCCAAGGCCGAGGCCCGACCUGAUCUCCCCAACCUUGGCAUCUGGAACAGACCAAGUAGGGCGAAAGAGCGGCCAGGGAACCAGAGUUGGGGCAACUCAGUGUAAACGCAAGGUUUCAUACAUGUGCAUGUGUGUGUAACACAGAACUUGGCUGAAGACUGGACGGAAACUUAGAAGCCAGCCCUGUGUCCCAGAGUGAGGCUGGACCAGGGACACAGAGGGCAAGGGCAUGUCCCUUCCCUGAGCCCCUAAGACAGGCACUGGAGCUCCUGCGGCCGUGGAGGAGCUGUGCUCUCUGUAGCGCCCCUCCUUCGCCUCUGGACAUUCUUGGGCAGUGUCAAAUGGCACUGGAAGGCCCGCAAGUGGGGCUUGGCAGGACUAAGGGCCUGGAAAGAGGAAGAAAGGAAAGGACUGAGUUGCUUUUUCCUUCCAAUCCUGGUUGCCAACAUCAGUCACUGGGUGCCAUCAUCAGUCUGGGGGCUGACGGCACAUGAAAGACCUCCGAAUUCAGCUCUUCAAUCACAGGCAGUUCCCACGCUGCAGGCUUUGUCCCUUGUUGCUAAAGAACCAGCCCUGAGUGCAGGUCAGAGGGAGGCGGCAGCGCUGCCCAGGAUCCCUUGCAGGCCUUAGCACCAAAAGCCCAGCACCAGCCGGCCAGCCCCCCAGAUCUGACAGCCGCAUCCAUCCUGGCUGACCGGAGAGGGCAG